GAUGAACGCUGGCGGCGUGCCUAAUACAUGCAAGUCGAGCGAACAGACGAGGAGCUUGCUCCUCUGACGUUAGCGGCGGACGGGUGAGUAACACGUGGAUAACCUACCUAUAAGACUGGGAUAACUUCGGGAAACCGGAGCUAAUACCGGAUAAUAUAUUGAACCGCAUGGUUCAAUAGAGAAAGACGGUUUUGCUGUCACUUAUAGAUGGAUCCGCGCCGCAUUAGCUAGUUGGUAAGGUAACGGCUUACCAAGGCAACGAUGCGUAGCCGACCUGAGAGAGUGUACGGCCACACUGGCACUGAGACACGGUCCAGACUCCUACGGGAGGCAGCAGUAGGGAAUCUUCCGCAAUGGGCGAAAGCCUGAUGGAGCAACGCCGCGUGAGUGAUGAAGGUCUUCGGAUCGUAAAACUCUGUUAUUAGGGAAGAACAAAUGUGUAAGUAACUAUGCACGUCUUGACGGUACCUAAUCAGAAAGCCACGGCUAACUACGUG
rnacentral:rRNA from 1 species